UUUAAGGUCUAACCUGCCCUAUGAUUAUUUAAAUGGCUGCAGUAUUUUGACUGUACAAAGGUAGCAUAAUCAUUAGUUUUUUUAUUGAAAGCUGGAAUGAAAGGUUGGAUGAAAAAUUUUCUGUCUCUGACUAAGUUAUUAAAAUUUUAUUUUUAAGUAAAAAAGCUUAAAUUUUUUAAUAAGACGAGAAGACCCUAUAGAGUUUAAUAAAAAUAAUUAAUUUAGUUUUAGAAAAUUUAUAUAUUUUUGUUUUUAUUUUGUUGGGGUGAUGGAAAAAUUUAAUUAACUUUUUAUUAUUUUUACAUUUAUAAGUGAUUAUUUGAUCCUUUUAGGAUUAUAAGAUUAAGUUACCUUAGGGAUAACAGCGUGAUUUUUUUGGAAAGUUCAUAUUUAUAAAAAAGUUUGCGACCUCGAUGUUGGAUUAAAAUUUAUUUUUGGUGUAGUAGCUGAAUAAUUAGGUCUGUUCGACCUUUAAAAUUUUACA
rnacentral:rRNA from 1 species